GAAGAAACAAAACAUAGCUUCUCUGUAGAUACUAAUGACGAGGACGAAGAAAAUAAUAACAAUAGUUAUAAUAAAGAUGACCAAUUACCAAAAAGAAAAAAAAAAGAAAUUGAAAGUUGUAAUAACAUAUGGGACGUAAAACUAGGAAACAUAAUGGACCAAAAAAAAGUUGAAAAGGCAAAAAUUGAUAAAGCAAAAAUUGAUAAGGAAAAAAUUGAUAAGGCAAAAAUUGAUAAGGCAAAAAUUGAUAAAGCAAAAAUUGAUAAGGCAAAAAUUGAUAAGGCAAAAAUUGAUAAGGAAAAAAUUGAUAAGGCAAAAAUUGAUAAGGCAAAAAUUGAUAAGGAAAAAAUUGAUAAGGAAAAAAUUGAUAAGGCAAAAGAUGACAAGGAAAAAGAUGACAAAGCAAAAGAUGAUAAGACUAAAAUAGAUCAACCUCAAAUAAAAAAAUCCAAGAGUAUGCAUUUUUUAAAUGAAAAAAAUUAUGAUAAGCAUUAUAACUUAUCAAAGGGUUAUAACACUUUUGAAGCAAAUGAAAAAAAUAAUAACUUUUAUGAAAAAAAUAAAAUGAAACAAUCAAACGGACAUUUAAAAUUCUCUAAAAGUGUUAUGGGUAGUAGAAAUACAAAUGAUAGUGAAGAAGACAAUGAUGGCGACAGUAUACCAAAAAAUAAUUUUAUAUUUAUAAAGAAGAGCAAUAAACAGGAAAAUUAUUUUAAUUACAGCUAUAAUAAUGACAUUGAUAGUAGAAAUGGUAACGAUAAUUUGAAUACAAAUUUAAAUAACACAACACAUGAAAAUAAAAAUGUUAAUAAUAGUGGGAACUUAAAUGGAGUCACAAACAAUGUGUCUAGCUAUUCAAACUAUGAAAAUUUUAUUUUCGAAAAAAAUUCAAACAAUUAUUCUAACGGUAUAAACAAUGACGGUAGUUAUAACUUCGCAAAUUAUAACAACAAUACUACCAAUAGCGACGACAUAAUUAAUGGUAAUAAUGAUGAUAAAACAAAAAAUAACGGUACGAAAAACUCCUUUUCUUAUGAAGGACAUAAAACAAAUAUGGAAACACAAAGUUCAAAUAACAAUUUAGAUAAAAACAAUUUUAUAAAUGAAAAUUCAUUUUUUAAUAAAAAAACUAGUUUCAAUGAUAAUAUAAUAUUUUCAAAUAAACAAGAGAAAAAUGAUUAUUACAAAAACAGAAUAAAAGAUUUAAACAACGUUAAUCAUACAAAUGGUGACAAUAAUAUAAAUGGUAAUCUUAUAAAUAAUAAAAACGACAUUGGAAAUAUUAAUGACAACAUGCAAAGCAAUAUUAAUAGUAAUGGUUCUAAUCCAAUUUUUGUCAACCCUAAUUUGGUUAACUCUAACUUAACCAAACCAAAGAACAACUUGAAUAAUAACAAUAAUGACAUAAAUUAUGAGCCAAAUUAUGAGCCAAAUUAUGAACCAAAUUUCGAGCCAAAUUUCGAGCCAAAUUUUGAGCCAAAUUUUGAGCCAAAAUUCGAGCCAAACUUUGAGCCAAACUUUGAGCCAAACUUUGAAUCAAAUUAUGAACAAAAUUCUGAGCCAACGUGUGAGGAAAAUUAUGAUGCAAAUUAUGAACCAAAUUAUAAACCAAAUUAUGAACCAAAUUAUGAACCAAAUUAUAAACCAAAUUAUGAACCAAAUUAUGAACCAAAUUAUGAACCAAAUUAUGAACCAAAUUAUGAACCAAAUUAUGAACCAAAUUUUGAGCCAGAUUAUGAAUCAAAGUUUCUAAGGGAUCAUGUAAAUGUAAGUGAAAAGAAUACAGAAGAUACACAAUACGUAAAAAAUGGUGUAUAUAUAAACAAUAGUAGCAAUUUUAUAAACUUGGGAUUUAUAAAUAGAAAAGAUCAGUCUUAUAAACCCAAUGGUAAUUUUAAUGAUGAAUACAUAAAUAAUGAUAAACAAAAUAAUAAAUUAGAUGGAAACAAUACUAUACAGACAGAACACAUUAUAAAUUCGUUAAAGUUUGGUAACAAUAAUAAUAGUAUGAAACAAAAUACAUAUAAAAGUAAUAUCUACAACAAUAUGGGUACUACUGGUAGUUCCAAUGUAGGAAAUUUAAAUACUUUUUACCAAGAAAAAUUGAUGAAAAAAAAAAUUAAUUUAUCUUAAAAUAUAUAUAUAUAUAUAUAUAUAUUUAGGAUAAAGCUAAAUAAAAGAAAAGGUGGGGAAAAAUAUGUACUUAAU
rnacentral:lncRNA from 1 species